rnacentral:rRNA from 1 species
UACGUAGGGGGCGAGCGUUGUCCGGAUUUAUUGGGCGUAAAGCGCGGGCAGGCGGCCCGGUAAGUCGGCCGUGAAAGCGCCGGGCUCAACUCGGCGAGGACGGGCGAGACUGCGGGGCUUGAGAGAGGUAGAGGGCGGUGGAAUUCCGGGUGUAGUGGUGGAAUGCGUAGAGCUCCGGAGGAACACCAGUGGCGAAGGCGGCCGCCUGGGCCUUUUCUGACGCUGAGCCGCGAAAGCGUGGGGAGCGAGCCGGAUUAGAUACCCGGGUAGUCCACGCCGUAAACGAUGGGCACUAGGUGUCGGGGGUAUCGACCCCCUCGGUGCCGGCGCUAACGCAAUAAGUGCCCCGCCUGGGGAGUACGGCCGCAAGGCUAAA